AAAGGUUAUAUGAUUAAGACCAAUGUGAAAAUAUCGAGAAAAAACAUGGUCUUGUAGGGCUAGGUUUAAACAAGAAUUUAUAGAAAGAUUAACAGAAUCCCUAGGUGUAGCUAAAAGUUCAUUAUCUUCUUGAUUAAAAGAUAGGACCUCAGCUAUAGAAAAGGGUUGGUUUUGACCUAUUGCAAUCAACUCCAGACACAAAUCAUAAUUAGGGGCAAAGAAAGGACUUGUUGACUCCCAUGGUCUAUGGCUGGUCUCCGAAGGUGCAAAAAUUCAAUAAUAGGUGUGGAAUUUGAGUUGUCCACA
rnacentral:lncRNA from 1 species